rnacentral:rRNA from 1 species
AAAUUGAAGAGUUUGAUCAUGGCUCAGAUUGAACGCUGGCGGCAGGCCUAACACAUGCAAGUCGAACGGUAACAGGAAGCAGCUUGCUGCUUUGCUGACGAGUGGCGGACGGGUGAGUAAUGUCUGGGAAACUGCCUGGUGGAGGGGGAUAACUACUGGAAACGGUAGCUAAUACCGCAUAACGUCGCAAGACCAAAGAGGGGGACCUUCGGGCCUCUUGCCAUCGGAUGUGCCCAGAUGGGAUUAGCUAGUAGG